rnacentral:rRNA from 1 species
GACGAACGCUGGCGGCGUGCCUAAUACAUGCAAGUAGAACGCUGAAGGAGGAGCUUGCUUCUCUGGAUGAGUUGCGAACGGGUGAGUAACGCGUAGGUAACCUGCCUGGUAGCGGGGGAUAACUAUUGGAAACGAUAGCUAAUACCGCGUAAUAGUAGAUGUUGCAUGACAUUUGCUUAAAAGGUGCAAUUGCAUCACUACCAGAUGGACCUGCGUUGUAUUAGCUAGUUGGUGGGGUAACGGCUCACCAAGGCGACGAUACAUAGCCGACCUGAGAGGGUGAUCGGCCACACUGGGACUGAGACACGGCCCAGACUCCUACGGGAGGCAGCAGUAGGGAAUCUUCGGCAAUGGACGGAAGUCUGACCGAGCAACGCCGCGUGAGUGAAGAAGGUUUUCGGAUCGUAAAGCUCUGUUGUAAGAGAAGAACGAGUGUGAGAGUGGAAAGUUCACACUGUGACGGUAUCUUAACAGAAAGGGACGGCUAACUACGUG